CAUGCAAGUCGAGGGGCAGCAUGAUUGAAGCUUGCUUCAAUUGAUGGCGACCGGCGCACGGGUGAGUAACGCGUAUCCAACCUUCCGUACACUCAGGGAUAGCCUUUCGAAAGAAAGAUUAAUACCUGAUGGUAUGAUAAGAUUGCAUGAUAUCAUCAUUAAAGAUUCAUCGGUGUACGAUGGGGAUGCGUUCCAUUAGGUAGUAGGCGGGGUAACGGCCCACCUAGCCUACGAUGGAUAGGGGUUCUGAGAGGAAGGUCCCCCACAUUGGAACUGAGACACGGUCCAAACUCCUACGGGAGGCAGCAGUGAGGAAUAUUGGUCAAUGGACGAGAGUCUGAACCAGCCAAGUAGCGUGAAGGAUGAAGGUCCUACGGAUUGUAAACUUCUUUUAUAAGGGAAUAAAACCUCCCACGUGUGGGAGCUUGUAUGUACCUUAUGAAUAAGCAUCGGCUAACUCCGUGCCAGCAGCCGCGGUAAUACGGAGGAUGCGAGCGUUAUCCGGAUUUAUUGGGUUUAAAGGGAGCGCAGACGGGUCGUUAAGUCAGCUGUGAAAGUUUGGGGCUCAACCUUAAAAUUGCAGUUGAUACUGGCGUCCUUGAGUGCGGUUGAGGUGUGCGGAAUUCGUGGUGUAGCGGUGAAAUGCUUAGAUAUCACGAAGAACUCCGAUUGCGAAGGCAGCACACUAAGCCGUAACUGACGUUCAUGCUCGAAAGUGUGGGUAUCAAACAGGAUUAGAUACCC
rnacentral:rRNA from 1 species